AACAAACAAACAAAAAGAGUGAAACUCUGGGGACUUCCUGUUAGAAGACAGGGGUCAUUAAGUCCACGGUGGACAAGGUCCCAGCAGAAGAAGAUGGGACCUCACCAGGGUGUCUUCCUUCUCAUUUGCUCUGAGUAAAUAAUAAUUUCUUCAGUUCGGAUGCGGCUUCAAAUGUUCUGACGGAGGUUCCUACAGCAGACGCAGCGCUGAACGAACACAGAAACGUUCAUCUAACUCUGAGUAAUCUUCUUGGUGAGUCGUACCUGCUGGGGUCCGUCCCGGGAGCCCUGACGUCUGGACGGCUGACGUUGCUGAAGUCGUCCGAGCUGCUGAAGUUUCUCUCGCUGCAGGAC